rnacentral:ribozyme from 1 species
AAAAAAAAAAAAAAAAAAAAAAAAAAAGCUUAUCACAAUGUCAAUGUCAUGGCGUAUGUCUCGUUGCGAACUUUUUUUGGUGUUGUUGUUCGAUUGC